rnacentral:lncRNA from 1 species
UUUAAAUUUUUAAAGUUUGAUUUACAUAUUGAAAUUAGAUAUAUGAAAAAAUUUAAAUGUGCCAAUUGAUAAGUUGAAGAAUUAUUGAAAAAUAUAAAGAUAUUAUACAUAUCCACCUAUUUAUUUAUAAAUAAUAAGUUUAAAUGAUUGAUAAAAUUAUACAAUUAUUUUAUAUAUAGUGAAGGUGAUAUCAUCAAUCUAUCUGAAAAAGGUGACGAGAUUUAUAAAUAAAACUAUCAACUUCACAUUACUAAACAGAAAAAAUACAACUGCAACAGUUGCAUCUACAUAAAAUCAAACAAAUUAUGUGUAAUUACAACUAUUAUAAUUUUUAACUAUAUUGUAUUUAUAACUACAUCCAACUAAAUAACCCCUAAAAUUAGUAAUAAUUAAAUGCGUGAAAUUUAAUACUAAUAUUGAAUCAU